CGUGUCCUCUUUCGAUCCAACAAGAACAUAGCACAGUUACAAAUUGUGUAACCAAUAUAGAUGCACCUAAAUUGAUAAAGCAAAUAUUAGCAAAAUAAAGGGAGAAAUUGACAGUAACAAUAA